rnacentral:rRNA from 1 species
CCUACGGGAGGCAGCAGUGGGGAAUAUUGCACAAUGGGCGCAAGCCUGAUGCAGCCACGCCGCGUGUACGAUGAAGGCCUUCGGGUCGUAAAGCUCUGUCCUCAGGGAAGAUGUUUGCGGUGCCUGCAACGUCACCCCCGGCUAACUCCGGCCCAGCAGCCGCGGUAAUACGGAGGGUGCGCGCGUUAAUCGGAAUUACUGGGCGUAAAGCGCUCGUAGGCGGUAUGUCAAGUCACGGGUGAAAUCCCCGCGCUCAACGUGGGAACUGCAUUUGAAACUGGCAAACUGGAGUGUGUGAUAGGAGAGUGGAAUUCCAGGUGUAGGAGUGAAAUCCGUAGAUAUCUGGAGGAACAUCAGUGGCGAAGGCGA